UGGGGAAUUUUGGACAAUGGGCGAAAGCCUGAUCCAGCAAUGCCGCGUGUGUGAAGAAGGCCUUCAGGUUGUAAAGCACUUUUGUCCGGAAAGAAAUCCUUGGCUCUAAUACAGUCGGGGGAUGACGGUACCGGAAGAAUAAGCACCGGCUAACUACGUGCCAGCAGCCGCGGUAAUACGUAGGGUGCAAGCGUUAAUCGGAAUUACUGGGCGUAAAGCGUGCGCAGGCGGUUUGCUAAGACCGAUGUGAAAUCCCCGGGCUCAACCUGGGAACUGCAUUGGUGACUGGCAGGCUAGAGUAUGGCAGAGGGGGGUAGAAUUCCACGUGUAGCAGUGAAAUGCGUAGAGAUGUGGAGGAAUACCGAUGGCGAAGGCAGCCCCCUGGGCCAAUACUGACGCUCAUGCACGAAAGCGUGGGGAGCAAACAGGAUUAGAUACCCUGGUAGUCCACGCCCUAAACGAUGUCAACUAGUUGUUGGGGAUUCAUUUCCUUAGUAACGUAGCUAACGCGUGAAGUUGACCGCCUGGGGAGUACGGUCGCAAGAUUAAAACUUAAAGGAAUUGACGGGGUCAUAGCUGUUUCC
rnacentral:rRNA from 1 species